rnacentral:rRNA from 1 species
UACGUAGGGGGCGAGCGUUGUCCGGAGUUACUGGGCGUAAAGGGCACGCAGGCGGUGCGGCGCGUUUCGCGUGACGAGCGAGGCUUACUCGCAGAUGCGAAAGACGGCGGCACUUGAGGGCCAGAGAGGGACACGGAAUUCCGGGUGGAGUGGUGAAAUGCGUAGAGAUCCGGAGGAACACCGAAGGCGAAGGCAGUGUCCUGGCUGGUGACUGACGCUGAGGUGCGAAAGCUAGGGGAGCGAACGGG